CCUACGGGAGGCAGCAGUGAGGAAUAUUGGUCAAUGGCCGAAAGCCUGAACCAGCCAAGUCGCGUGCAGGAAGACUGCCCUAUGGGUUGUAAACUUCUUUUAUACGGGAGUAACGCCACUUACGUGUAGGGGUUUGCAAGUACCGUAAGAAUAAGCAUCGGCUAACUCCGUGCCAGCAGCCGCGGUAAUACGGAGGGUCCGAGCGUUAUCCGGAUUUAUUGGGUUUAAAGGGGGCGUAGGCCGGAUGUCAAGUGAGCGGGGAAAUCUCGGGGCUCAACCCCGGCCUUGCCGGGGCAACUGGUGAGCUUGAGUGUGCGGGAAGUAGGCGGAAUGCGUGGUGUAGCGGUGAAAUGCUUAGAUAUGACGCAGAACCCCGAUUGCGAAGGCAGCUUACCGGCGCCCAACUGACGCUGAUGCACGAAAGCGUGGGUAUCGAACAGGAUUAGAUACCCGGGUAGUC
rnacentral:rRNA from 1 species